rnacentral:rRNA from 1 species
GACGAACGCUGGCGGCGGGCUUAACACAUGCAAGUCGAACGGAAAGGCCCUGCUUUUGUGGGGUGCUCGAAUGGCGAACGGGUGAGUAACACGUGAGUAACCUGCCCUUGACUUUGGGAUAACUUCAGGAAACUGGGGCUAAUACCGGAUAGGAGCUACUGCUGCAUGGUGGGGGUUGGAAAGUUUCGGCGGUUGGGGAUGGACUCGCGGCUUAUCAGCUUGUUGGUGGGGUAGUGGCUUACCAAGGCCUUGACGGGUAGCCGGCCUGCGAGGGUGACCGGCCACAUUGGGAUGGGGAUGCGGCCCAGACUCCUACGGUAGGCAGCAGUGGGGAAUAUUGCACUAUGGGCGGAAGCCUGAUGCAGCAACGCCGCGUGCGGGAUGACGGCCAUCGGGUUGUAAACCGCAUUCGCCUGUGACGAAGCGUGAGUGACGGUAAUGGGUAAAGAAGCACCGGCUAACUACGUG